rnacentral:rRNA from 1 species
CCUACGGGUGGCAGCAGUGAGGAAUAUUGGUCAAUGGGCGCGAGUCUGAACCAGCCAAGUAGCGUGAAGGAUGACUGCCCUAUGGGUUGUAAACUUCUUUUAUAUGGGAAUAAAACGUUCCACGUGUGGGAUUUUGUAUGUACCAUAUGAAUAAGGAUCGGCUAACUCCGUGCCAGCAGCCGCGGUAAUACGGAGGAUCCGAGCGUUAUCCGGAUUUAUUGGGUUUAAAGGGAGCGUAGGUGGAUUGUUAAGUCAGUUGUGAAAGUUUGCGGCUCAACCGUAAAAUUGCAGUUGAAACUGGCAGUCUUGAGUACAGUAGAGGUGGGCGGAAUUCGUGGUGUAGCGGUGAAAUGCUUAGAUAUCACGAAGAACUCCGAUUGCGAAGGCAGUUCACUGGACUGCAACUGACACUGAGGCUCGAAAGUGUGGGUAUCAAACAGGAUUAGAUACCCUAGUAGUC